GAAGAUGCGGUAGAGAGGAUGUCGACCUUGUCACAAACUCCGAAUGCGUCAUUGUGUUGCGAUUGCAUCCAACAUGAUCAUCUAUAAGACACUAGUGGGCGCCUUGUGGUAAGCAUGCGGCGCAAAAAGGGAUGAACCUAGCAGUGGGGUAAGGUGCCUAAAGGAAAACAAAGAGAAAAAGCGUUUGGCAGAUUAGGACAGUGGGGCGGUGGCCAUGGAGGUCGGCAUCCGCUAAGAAACGUGUUACAACGUACCCACCGAAUCUGCGAAUGCUGAAAAUGGAUGGCGCUUAUUUCCAUACCGAGCCCCACAUGGUACAGCCACGUAGGCCGGCACGUGUGCAUCUGAGAAGACCCGCCGUGAGGUGUGUUGGAGAUGUUCACGGAGCAGAUCUUGGAAGUAGUAGCAUCAUUUGUAUGUGCCAAUGGAGGCGGGUUUGUCCUUUUAAUAGAAGGAAGUGAUACGAGCCUAGUAAAAGGGAAUAUAGUAGAUAUUCUAUAUAGAUGUACCUAUGUGGCGACACGACAGCGACCCCAACGACGUGUGCCGGUGAGAAUUUUCCGGGACACCCAGAUCUUAUGAGCGUCACGCUGAGACUAAGAACGAGUUGGGCGGUGAAAAUGAAGGAACAUCCUCGUACCGAACCGCAACAGGACUCCUAGGUGAGAAGCCUAAGGCAUAAUUGUAAUGUGAGCAAGGGAAAUCGGCAAAAUGGAUGAAAAACCUCGGGAUAAUCAUUGGCUCUAGCAUGCUAGAACUGGGCUUACAAGGGGAAUCUGACUGUUUAAUAAAAACAUAGCUUUGUGUGUACGCAAAGUGAAUUCUGCCCAGUGCUUGGGACGUUAAGGAAGUAAUUUUAAGUACGCACCUGUAAACGGCGGGAGUAACUAUGACUCUCUUAAGGUAGCCAAAUGCCUCGUCGCCUAAUUAGCGACGCGCAUGAAUGGAGCAACGAGAUUCCCACUGUCCCUGCUCACAGAUUUGCGAACCUACACCCAAGGGAACGGGGCUUGGGAACUUGCAGCGUGGGAAAGAAUAACCCUGAUUGAGCUUUGACUCUAGGCCUAAGCCCGGGCCUCUGGUGACUUUUUUCGUAACCGAGGGCGGGGAAAAAAUGUUUUGAAGCACCCCUUGUACAUUAUUUCGGUGGGGGGGGUAUCUUUCCUAUAACUUUGGGUGGGGGUAGAUUUUGGGCUUGGUGUCCGGCAAGAAACUUCAUAAAAAUCUUUAACCGGUUAUACCUUCCCAAAGGGGUAAUUCCUUCCUCAAGGGGGAAUUGGAAAACCCC
rnacentral:ncRNA from 1 species